rnacentral:rRNA from 1 species
GACGAACGCUGGCGGCGUGCUUAACACAUGCAAGUCGAACGGUGAAGGGGUCUGCUUUUGUGGGCCCUGGAUGAGUGGCGCACGGGUGAGUAACACGUGAGUAACCUGCCCCCUUCUUCUGGAUAACCGCAUGAAAGUGUGGCUAAUACGGGAUAUUCUGGGUCUGUCGCAUGAUGGGUCUGGGAAAGAUUGCGCCUUUGGGUGUUUUUGGUGGGGGAUGGGCUCGCGGCCUAUCAGCUUGUUGGUGGGGUGAUGGCCUACCAAGGCGGUGACGGGUAGCCGGCCUGAGAGGGUGGACGGUCACACUGGGACUGAGACACGGCCCAGACGCCUACGGGAGGCAGCAGUGGGGAAUAUUGCACAAUGGGCGCAAGCCUGAUGCAGCGACGCCGCGUGAGGGAUGGAGGCCUUCGGGUUGUAAACCUCUUUCGCCAGUGAAGCAGGCCUGCUCCUUGUGGGUGGGUUGACGGUAGCUGGAUAAGAAGCGCCGGCUAACUACGUG